rnacentral:lncRNA from 1 species
UGAAAUAAAAGCACAGUUAGAGAAGCUUGCAUUCCCCACUAACAAUGCAAAGAUUGGACCACUCAAAUCAUUUAGUGCUCCGGGCUUUAGCAAUGAUACCAUCCAGAGGUGUGCAAUGUUGACAUGCUUAGGAACUUAUAACAUUUGGCAAAAAAUUUCUAAUGUGUUGAUUUCUGUAUGGAAUAAAACAGCUGUGGACAGCAUUUUCAUUUAAUUUACUGGCAAUUAGACAAAGAUGAUGGGCAUGUACCAGCUCGAUUUGGUAUCGCCUGUGCUGAAGUCCACAGUUUGAGAAUUGAGCAACCUGGGUGUCAUCCUCGUCCAGCCACUGACUAUGUAAAUAAGAGCUUCAUUGGUCCGUCAUACUUACUAAGCAGCCAUUACCUAUGCACCAGGGGCUUUAUGUUCAGUAUCUCUUUCAAUCUUCCAACAACUCUAUAAAGUACUACCCAUUUUUAUGAGGAAGUUGAGGUAUAAAGCGGUUAAAUAACUUGUCUGAGGUCACACUGAUAGGGAGUGGCAGGGCCAGGAUUUAAACCCAAGUCUGUCUGACUCCAGAACUGCUGCUAUUAACCUUCACAUUAUUCUGAGUAUCUCCAGCUUGAUAUGUCAGUUCUCCCUCUGUCUGGUGCCUUAUAAAAAGAUUUCCAGACAGGAAGGAGGGUUUGGAAUGAACCUCAUUUCAAGUAAUGUAUUUCUAGAUUGGUCCUUCUUGGGAUUCACUCAUAACCUACUUGUGUUGUAAGAACCUGGGGAAAGCAUUAUGAAUAGGUCCAGGUACACUUUCCUUCCCAGCCUUUGCAGAGCACAGUGAGUAAUGCAUCUACACAUAAUUUUUCUUCCGAUUGAAAAUGUAACUGCUCUCAUUUCUCAAUUCUGAUUUCAUGUUCAGUGCCCAAGUACACUGCUUGGUUCAAAGCAAGUGUCUAAUAAAUACUGAUGCAUCGUGCCGACUGCUGUGUCCUUUCGCAUGAACACUCCUGCUUUUUUCCAUGAAUCAAGUUCAUAAUAGGUUAAGAGGGUUAUGCUUUUUCACUGUAUAUGCAUUUGUACCUUUUGAGUUUACAUUUAUUAUGUAUUAAAAUUUGGGAAAAAAUACAACAUAUUACAGAAAAAGAGAUAAAGGGAAAGUCAUCUAUGCCUCUUGCACUGUGUCAAAUACUUUCACAGCUUUUUAAGCAUGAUGUGCACACCUCAGUUCUGCCUUCACUGGAAGGUUCUGGCUUUCUGGAGGUCAUGGCUAAGAUAUCUGGUUCCCGAAAGGCAGAGGGUGCUGACCACGCCUUCCCCUCAUUUCAGACACCAUGAUGAGUGAUGUAGCUCUCCUGCUGCCAGCUUACCUAUCAUCGGCUGUAACACGCCCUCGGCAAUUUUAAUGAGCUGCUGGUAGAUCUGAAUGGAAAGGUCACUCAGCACCUGACGGUAUUCGGCCAUCAAAUGAAGUGCUGGUUCUUAGGAGAGAGAUGGCGUCAAGCCAACUGCAAAGAAGGUAAGACUGAAAGGAAGGGCAUAUCCUUUUACUAACCCAGGGAGAAGAGUCUGUCAAAAUUGGUUCUGGCACAAAAGAUGGAAUAAAGCUUUAAAAAUGGU